rnacentral:rRNA from 1 species
CCUACGGGCGGCUGCAGUAGGGAAUCUUGGACAAUGGGCGCAAGCCUGAUCCAGCCAUGCCGCGUGAGUGAUGAAGGUCUUCGGACUGUAAAACUCUUUUCUGAGGGAAGAACUGACGGUUGAGGAAAUGCUUCCGUUUUGACGGUACCUCAGGAAUAAGCAACGGCUAACUCCGUGCCAGCAGCCGCGGUAAUACGGAGGGUGCAAGCGUUGUUCGGAAUGACUGGGCGUGAAGGGAGCGCAGGCGGUUGAAAGCCCGGGGCUCAACCCCGGCGGGUCUUUGGAUACUGUCGAACUUGAGUACGGAAGAGGAGAGUGGAAUUCCAGGUGUAGCGGUGAAAUGCGUAGAUAUCUGGAGGAACACCGGUGGCGAAAGCGGCUCUCUGGUCCGAUACUGACGCUCAUGCUCGAAAGCGUGGGGAGCAAACGGGAUUAGAUACCCCGGUAGUC